rnacentral:rRNA from 1 species
UACGGAGGAUGCAAGCGUUAUCCGGAAUGAUUGGGCGUAAAGGGUCCUGAGGUGGCUGGCUUAGUCUACUGUGAAAGAUCAGGGCUUAACCCUGAACAGGCGGUGGAAACUAGCAAGCUAGAGUACGGUAGGGGCGGAGGGAAUUCUCGGUGGAGCGGUGAAAUGCAUAGAUAUCGGGAGGAACACCAAUGGCGAAGGCAGCUCGCUGGGACGGUACUGACGCUGAGACGCGAAAGCGUGGGGAGCAAACAGG